CACGGGGGGAGCAAGCGUUGUUCGGAAUCACUGGGCGUAAAGGGCGUGUAGGCGGUCAAGUAAGUGGGAUGUGAAAUGCCCCGGCUCACCCGGGGACCUGCAUCCCAAACUGCUUGGCUCGAGUAUGGGAGAGGAUGAGGGAAUUCCUGGUGUAGCGGUGAAAUGCGUAGAUAUCAGGAGGAACACCGGUGGCGAAAGCGCUCAUCUGGCCCAAUACUGACGCUGAGGCGCGAAAGCUAGGGGAGCAAACGGG
rnacentral:rRNA from 1 species